rnacentral:rRNA from 1 species
GAUGAACGCUGGCGGCGUGCCUAAUACAUGCAAGUCGAGCGAACGGACGAGAAGCUUGCUUCUCUGAUGUUAGCGGCGGACGGGUGAGUAACACGUGGAUAACCUACCUAUAAGACUGGGAUAACUUCGGGAAACCGUAGCUAAUACCGGAUAAUAUUUUGAACCGCAUGGUUCAAAAGUGAAAGACGGUCUUGCUGUCACUUAUAGAUGGAUCCGCGCUGCAUUAGCUAGUUGGUAAGGUAACGGCUUACCAAGGCAACGAUGCAUAGCCGACCUGAGAGGGUGAUCGGCCACACUGGAACUGAGACACGGUCCAGACUCCUACGGGAGGCAGCAGUAGGGAAUCUUCCGCAACGGGCGAAAGCCUGACGGAGCAACACCGCGUGAGUGAUGAAGGUCUUCGGAUCGUAAAACUCUGUUAUUAGGGAAGAACAUAUGUGUAAGUAACUGUGCACAUCUUGACGUUACCUAAUCAGAAAGCCACGGCUAACUACGUG